UUUAAAAUGUUAAGCCAUAGUACCCCUCGAUCCUUGAGCUUCUUAUUAAAAUAGUGAUAUACUCUAUAAAUUUAAAAAUAUAUUAUUUAUUUAUCCAUCUCUCACUGUCAAUCCCUUUCCUCAAGAAAUACACUCUACUCAUCAAUCCCUUUCUUCAAGAAAUAAAUUUUUUUAUUUAUUUAAAAUUAUGCAAAUAAUAAUAAAUAAAUAAAAAGAUGCCUCACCACUAUGCACAUCUCCAGAGGUAGGCCACACUAAAAAUCAAAAAGUAAAUAAAUAAAUAAAAUAAUAAAUAAUAAAAAAAUACAUUCACCACGACACAAAGACCAAAAACCCUUUGAUAAAACACAAUAGGGUUAUAACAUCACAAAAAUCUCUAUUGAGUUCUUUCUUUUUCCUCUGUUCAAACCAAAACCCAUCUCUGAAAAUCAACUAAAAUCUCCAAAAAAAACUGUCAUGAUUUGAUCUUUCAAAAAAAGUUCAUUUUUUUUUCUCCAAACCCCAAAUGGGUUUUCCCACUAGACCCUUUUCUCUUCUCAUCCUCUUCAUUCUUCCAAUCCUAACAAUUUUUGAGCUUUGUCCCACUUACUGAAUCUGCAGCUGAUUACACUUCUCUGGUUUACAAAGGUAUUUUCUGGGUGUUCUCGUGUUGUUGUGAUGGUUAUGUCUGUGAGUGUGGAAGAUGGAGGUGUGUGUUUCUUUUAUAUUUUUCUAAGUAGUUAAAUUUGCUUCAUUUGUUUUUGUGUUGUUUCAGUGUUGUUUUAGUAGUUUUUUUUAUAAUUUUCUAGGAAUAGACUUGCAAAUAUAGUUGAUUUUGCAUCUGGUGUUGAGGUUGUGCAGCAGAUUGUUUGUUUUUUUUAAUCAUUUUUUCUUUUGUUUUUUUUGAUUGUUUUAGUGUUGUUUUACUGUUGUUUUACUAUUGUUUUGCCAUGAUUAUUUAUUGACGUCGAUUUUACUGCUUUUGUUUAUUCUUGCCGGUUUUAAUGGUUUUUUCUUGGUGAUUUCCGUCUCCGGCGUCUCCCCACACACGAAGAACGUUGUUUCCCCACACACACAGUAUAAAUGUUAUGCUGUUGGGCUUGGGCAGUACAAAAGUAAUGAAAUUGGGCUGGGGCAGUAAAAAUGUUAUUUUUGCCGUGUCCCAGUAUAAUUGUAAAGUUUUGGUCCAAAAACAGUAUUUUUGUAAAAUUCCCAAAUAAUAUUUAUACUUAU